AUACACACACACAUAUUAUAUUUGAUUUACUAUCUUCGGAACUUACUUAAUUUGCAAAUUAUAGAUAUACAUUAUCUUGUUGAAUAAAUUUUUUUUCUCACUCCUUUAUAGUAAUCACAUAUGUAAUUUCAUUGUUCUUUAAUUUUUCAGUUAAAAAAAAAAAAAAAGCGUGCAUAGUAAAUUUCGGUAAAACAGAGAGUGCACCAUGAAUUUUUUAAAGCCAUAGUAAUUAUGUCAUUAUAAAUAAUGAAUCAAUAGAGAGAAAUUUUGAUGAUAAUCAUAUUAAUCCCAAGAAAGUAAAAAUUAGAGCUGCUUAAGAACUGAAAGCGGACCAAGGUCAAACCGGCAACAAAGCUGAGGUAUUAGUAAGAACUGUUUGAUUGACAAGGACUGUGUAUGGACAUCAACCCUCAUCAUUCCCUCGUUUCGUCGCUCAAAACCGUUUACCUCAUCAGCUGAAAGCAAAGUGAUGGCGAGCCAGACUGCCUGUUCCAUUCACUGGCUGAAGCCUCAAAAGUCAAGGACCAGGGCUGCCUUCGGCUAGCGGCAAGCGGCGGGGCCCUUUUUGUUCAAGUUGAAGCAGUUGAAUAUAGAUCAUGACAAAGCCCAAAUCAAAGGCCCACGGGUUCAAUUUUCCCUGUAAACUUAGAAAUAAGACUGAAAAUAGAAAUAUUUUUAUCUUUUUUCACCAAAUUCUCUAUCUCUUUGUGUAAUAUAUCGUUCUAUUCAAAAAAUAAUUUUAUUUACCAACAUUCGAUA